rnacentral:lncRNA from 1 species
UUGUUAAAUACCUUAAUUUGCCCCUAAAGAAACCUUAUAUGACCAGCAUAUUAACCUUUAAAACAUAAGUACAACACAUAGACACGUGUUUUAAUCACAAGUAUAAUAUGAAAAAAAUCUAACAGCUGUAACAAAAGAGAAUGGAGAGAGGUAGGUAACUAAAUAAUUCAUCUCUCACCAAUUCGAUCCAACCCAUAAUUCAAUCUUUCAACAAUUCCUCGCCAUUAAAGACCUUGCAAUAUCA